UUCAUCUGCAAUUAGUGCUCUAGUUCCAUCCUCAAUUGCAUUGAGUGUUCCAUCUACAUCUGGAAUAAUUGUUACAUCUUCAGCUGCUACAAGUGUCCCACAACCUC
rnacentral:lncRNA from 1 species